rnacentral:misc_RNA from 1 species
ACAAUAAGUCAAUAAGGGCUCAUACUCAUGCCAAUAUUGAGUUGGCCAAUGUACAACAUAAGAUUUCAAACUCUCUCCAUCAAUCCUUUUUGCCAAGUAUUGAUUUAGUUGUUCUUGUAAAUUAGACGGAAAUGCUUCUAGAGCCAACGAAAUCGGCCGCUCUGCUUCGGCACAUCUCUUCCUCAAAUUCUUUACUAUCUCCAGCUCCACUUCUUUAUCAUCUUGAGUUGGAACUUGCUCGGCUUCGCCUAAAUACACGACCCGAGCAUUCAUAAGCUUCUCCCAUACUUUCUUCUUGUCCUUCCCCAAAGCCAAAGGCUCUCCAAUUACCGUCGCAUCAUAAAUCCUCGAAUUAAUCACUUCCUCCGCCUUAACCACCGGAUCAGGCGUCGGGGCCUCCACUGUAGUCACCGGAGGUUGCGGUGUACUCUCAGGCGGUGGUUUGUCGUCCGCUCUAGCAAUUGCGGAACGGAGAGCACAAACUCCGAUGGUAAGAAGAGGCAUGAGGAGUACAUUACGCCUAGUAGUCGAGGAUUUUUGCUUCGGAAUCAGCUCGUCGGAGUUAUCGAUGGCGUCGGUGGGCGACUGAGAACAACGAACUGAAAAGCUGACGUGGCUAUGCUCGUGAACCAAGCAGCGGGGGAAAUUGAGUCUUCUUCUGAUUAAAAACUUUCGCCGGAGAAGAGUUGCCGGUGGAACAUAUAAGUGCACUGAUUUGGAAGAGAUAGUACGGCCAGAGUUGGCCUUCAUUUUCCAGCUGAAGGCUUUAAG